GAGUUUGAUCCUGGCUCAGAUUGAACGCUGGCGGCAUGCCUUACACAUGCAAGUCGAACGGCAGCAUGAUCUAGCUUGCUAGAUUGAUGGCGAGUGGCGAACGGGUGAGUAAUACAUCGGAACGUGCCCUGUAGUGGGGGAUAACUAGUCGAAAGAUUAGCUAAUACCGCAUACGACCUGAGGGUGAAAGUGGGGGACCGCAAGGCCUCAUGCUAUAGGAGCGGCCGAUGUCUGAUUAGCUAGUUGGUGGGGUAAAGGCCCGACCAAGGCGACGAUCAGUAGCUGGUCUGAGAGGACGAUCAGCCACACUGGGACUGAGACACGGCCCAGACUCCUACGGGAGGCAGCAGUGGGGAAUUUUGGACAAUGGGGGCAACCCUGAUCCAGCAAUGCCGCGUGUGUGAAGAAGGCCUCGGUUGUAA
rnacentral:rRNA from 1 species